rnacentral:lncRNA from 1 species
CGGAGGGACAGUCCCUGAAUGAGAAAUAAUUUUGCGGAGAGCUCGAGUGGGCAAUCGAUGAGAAAUUCAGACACAUGUAGGAGAAUGCUGUACGCUAAUGUCACUGUCAGGAACUCAGGAAUGAUAACCCUGCUUCCUAUAAUUUCGGGGGACUUAAGUUCCAGGAAGUGAGUAUUUAUUAAGCUAUGAUACAUAGACCCACUUUACAGCUUUUUUUUGUGUGUAAAGUUUGCAGCCACGUGAGGUAUAACAUGAAACUUUCUGCGUAGGCCACAUGUACAUGUGUUUAACCAUGUAGUUCUAAUACUUCUAUGUGUUUUUCACAGUACCGAAUGUACACCACUCCAUGUACAUGCAUCGAGACAACCUAAUAUUUUAGACUGACUGACCCUGGGGGUUUUGUUUUGGGGUUUUCUAUUACGACCUCUAUGAUUGACCAAGCAUCCGAUUCGUAAUAAACCGUAGUGAUCGAGAAGUGAUUGACUGGUGUCCAGUUUCAUCCGUGUUUAAUCAAGGACGGACCCCAGCCCUAGACUUAUAAUAGGGUAGACCACCACAGUAAAAAUGGCGUCGUAGACAGGAUGCUGGGAGUUAUUGUCAUCAAGCUACCUCUACCGAAGAGACCCCCAGAGUCGGACUGGAUGAUGGCAUUACCGGGCGGUGUGGCUGAGGCCAUACGCCGGUAUCGGCGUGUAGCCACUUUGACAUUUUGUCAUGUAGUUGUACUUGUGUGACGAGCACAAGUCUGUUUGUAUUGUUGGCAUAUGCCAACUUGUUUUCAUGGUGUACAGCCAUGGGUAUUGAUGUAUAACCCUGCUAUGUAAGACUUUUUGACAAACUCACCUUUUUUGGCUCACAACAGAAGAUUUUGUGUAAUGUUGUUGAAAAGUGCCAACAUUUUGUAUUCACGUACUACUUGUAAGGUGUGCUACAGAAAUUUUCAGAGAAAUUGCAGCCUAGAAUAUUCUUUUGUAUUUGUGCGCUUUCACUGAUCUAUCCAGGGAAUUUUUGCAUUUGCAUCCCCUGUUGACCCUUGUUGUAUACAGCUCAUUUGAAGACUGUUUGUAUUGUAUGGGUCUACUCUUUUCUGUCCAAUUUGUUCCAAGGUGGAAUCUGUCAAAUUUUUACCUUCCUGCUUUGUAUGCAUGGAAUUCUAGUUCUAAAUUUGUAGAACUAUAUUUGUGCUCACUGUUGAGUGGUUUUGUGAAUAACCCAUUGUGAGAUUUUGUUUGGCAAUUUCACCAGAAUAUUUGGGACCUUGUAGAGACAUAUUUUGUGGUCAGUGAAUAUAGUUCACUUUCAUGGCUAGGUUUUUUUCCUUAUGUUUUGACUGGAUUUUUCCUGUUAAGCGUACACAUUUUGAUUGCAUAUAUUGCAUCUAGUCUUAUUGUAGACAUGUGACAUUUUGUAUUUGAAUUCGGCCCUGAUUGUGUUUACAUCAGCUGAGAUUCUUGUAUAGCUUUGAAGCUAAUAACUUUGGUUUGAAUUAUGGCCACAAAUGAGGUCUUGGUAAAUGUUGUUGUGGAAUCUCAUAGAGCCUUUAUUGAUACUAUUGUUGGAGCACUGAAAGGUAUUAGUUGUCCAGUGCCUCAGCAAAUUCAAGAUUUGAAAUGUGAUCAAUCAAGUUGGGAAAGAGACCCACCUGUUACAGAAAGGGCAAAGUGUAGUCCAUAUGGCCCAGCAAUUAUACCUGAUUGUGACAUAGAUGUAAAUCACUUUAGUUCAAGUGACCAUGAUAGUCUGUUACCACUACUCGAAAGUCAGAAAUACUUAAUCGAGUUAGUAAACAUUUUGGUUUUGCAGCAGCAACAAAUUAAUGAGCAGUUAGAUGACCUGCAAUCCAAUAUAAAUAUUCUGCUUGAACUUAGGGCAGAGGAAAAAGCAGGGAACCCACUGGAUGAGCCUGCGUAUUACCCUCUUGAUGAGGUAAAUGAUUCCAGUACUUUGAACAAACCCCAUGGUGAUGACUUUGUGAUUUUGACAGAGAGUUUUGUUGAUGAUUGUCAACAUUCUUGUUCACCUUGUAUUUGUGAUGAAAAUUCUGAUUUCAAUGAUGAGAGUGAGUGCUCAUCUGAUGAGUAUUUAAUUUUGGUCGUUGUUCCAAAUGUUGAUGAGGUUGAAAACAAACCUCCUGUAAUCCGUAAUUUCAGUUCGAAUAAGGGAGCGAGUCAAAUUGGAUCUUACAUAGCUCAUAGGCCAAGUUACACCUGUACAUCACCUGUAGUUGGAACACACAUGUUCACCCAAAGUCCAGAGGAGUUUGGAUUGAGGCCCUCUGAACGUCGGACGAGACUUUGGGGUUGCUGGCCAAAUGCAAUUACCUAAUUAUUUAUCAUUGAUUCUGCUUGACGAUCAAGUUAAGUAAUGGGUCCUGGUACUCCUAUUAUAGGACAUGGUUUGACCAGCCUGGCACCCUGUAGCUUGCUACUUGUUCAUGUUUUAUAGUUACUAUAACAAAGUUGUUGGUUUACAAAAUAUUUUGAUAGUGUGCUAGCUAUAUUGCUCUGCUAACGUUUUCCAAUAUCUUAUAGGAAGCAUUUUGUUUUCUUAUACUGUGUACAAGUUGAAGAGCGAGUUUGAAUUCUUCUGAAAUCUGUUUAACACAGUUUGUAUUAUUGGAAGUACAACAUUGUAACUUCUUGUUGACACCAGUUUUCUUUAAACACAGUAUUAUAUACAGAAAACAAGAUAAUAUCUUUACUAAAGCUUGAAGUUAAAGCUUGUAACAGUAAAGUAAAGACGGAUGUGUACCUUUAAAUUAUGUGUUUUUCACUUGAAAGGAACAGAGAGAGAGUUUCUAUAGCUUUUCAUUUGAGCUUACUUUUAAUUACAAAUGUGACCACAGGGGUUGGUCCGAGUAUCCCAAACUCAAACGUUCAGAUUGUUGAAGAUAUCUAUUACCCCCAUUGCUUGUUUUAAAGGUUAUUGAUUGUAACUAAUGUAAACUGAUGUACAUAUCUCCUUGGGUCAUUGUGAUGCUUAUGUACGUGCCAUUCGGGUCGCAUGGCAUAAAAGCAGGGAAGUUGUGGGAGUCCCGAUAUAACAGGACACCGCUGUUGUGUAUGGCGUGUUUAUCGUUUGUCUCCAUGACACCGCGCGCUAUUGCGUGCGGAGGGACAGUCCCUGAAUGAGAAAUAAUUUUGCGGAGAGCUCGAGUGGGCAAUCGAUGAGAAAUUCAGACACAUGUAGGAGAAUGCUGUACGCUAAUGUCACUGUCAGGAACUCAGGAAUGAUAACCCUGCUUCCUAUAAUUUCGGGGGACUUAAGUUCCAGGAAGUGAGUAUUUAUUAAGCUAUGAUACAUAGACCCACUUUACAGCUUUUUUGUGUGUGUAAAGUUUGCAGCCACGUGAGGUAUAACAUGAAACUUUCUGCGUAGGCCACAUGUACAUGUGUUUAACCAUGUAGUUCUAAUACUUCUAUGUGUUUUUCACAGUACCGAAUGUACACCACUCCAUGUACAUGCAUCGAGACAACCUAAUAUUUUAGACUGACUGACCCUGGGGGUUUUGUUUUGGGGUUUUCUAUUACGACCUCUAUGAUUGACCAAGCAUCCGAUUCGUAAUAAACCGUAGUGAUCGAGAAGUGAUUGACUGGUGUCCAGUUUCAUCCGUGUUUAAUCAAGGACGGACCCCAGCCCUAGACUUAUAAUAGGGUAGA